UAAAACUAAUUUAUAAAAAAAUAAUUUGAUGCCGCAGAUGGUUCAUUGGAAAUUUCGAACGUUCAAUGGAACCUUGAAACAAAUUUAAAUAAGGAACCACUUUUUGAAGAUUUCAGUAUGUUCUCAAGAACACUUACACUGAAACUGCAAAUUUUCAAGAGCACUAAAACUGCAAAUGUUGAAAUCACUGAAUUAAUGGGAAACACGGAGACAAGUAUUUAAAGUGCCUAAACCGCAAAAGCCAGCAGCGACUCCUUUUACUUGGCCCAAAUCGCCAAACCUACUGGCGAAUCCUCUUUAAUUUCCUAAGCCCAAGGAGUCAAAGGCUGCUCCCUGCACCUGCACUCCCGUAGCCUGCAACCUGUUCCUCCUGCACGCGCCUGCAACUGCAAAGUCGCCAGUCAAACCAGCGGUUUGUGAAACCACUGCUUGAAUCGCCAGUAGAGGUGGCGAGAUCCACCUUAGGCGAAGUGCAUGCCAUAGCAUUGCCUAAAGCACAAAGGAAGAAGAAAGCCUCGGUUUGUGGAAUUGAGACAUGGAGAGCAGCAGUGGGAGAGAGAGCACGGGGCGUGUGCCACUGUCAGGGGUGGUCAGAUGUACUGUCAUGGCUAUGGUGUUCCCAGAGAUGGGAAGAAUUUGGCUGACUAAAGUGUCGAGGGUUAGGUCUUCAGUUUGGAAAGUUGGGGGUAAACGUCCAGGUUAUAAUGCAAGUGACUCUGAGUCUGAUGAAUUGGAAGAAGAUUCUUAAACAGACUAAAUUUGAUUUCAUGUCCAAAAUUCUCAAAAUUAAUCUCUUACGAUAAGGUUUGGACUUUGGAUAUCUAAUUGCAAUGAAAACAAAUUUCUGGAGAGGGAGCGGGGAAUAAAUGUACACAUUCAUCAUGGUUUGGAGGACAGUUAUGUAAUUCUAAUUCAUGGGCAGUGUUUGAUCCUUACAAUCUUAAAAAUACCACCCAAUCCCCCUACCCCGUCUUGGAAUUAAAAGAAAAUUGAAUUACUGGGUGGAGAUUAUUUUAUUUUGGGGUACAUUUGUGGCAUUGAAGUUUGAAUAUAUACUAUCUCAUACCAUAUAAAUUACUUAAACUCUUAACCACUUAAUUAUUAGGUAGAGUUAACUUAGUUUUAAGCUUUA